rnacentral:rRNA from 1 species
CCUACGGGCGGCUGCAGUGAGGAAUAUUGGUCAAUGGACGAGAGUCUGAACCAGCCAAGUAGCGUGAAGGAUGACUGCCCUAUGGGUUGUAAACUUCUUUUAUAUGGGAAUAAAAUGUUCCACGUGUGGGAUUUUGUAUGUACCAUAUGAAUAAGGAUCGGCUAACUCCGUGCCAGCAGCCGCGGUAAUACGGAGGAUCCGAGCGUUAUCCGGAUUUAUUGGGUUUAAAGGGAGCGUAGGUGGAUUGUUAAGUCAGUUGUGAAAGUUUGCGGCUCAACCGUAAAAUUGCAGUUGAAACUGGCAGUCUUGAGUACAGUAGAGGUGGGCGGAAUUCGUGGUGUAGCGGUGAAAUGCUUAGAUAUCACGAAGAACUCCGAUUGCGAAGGCAGUUCACUGAACUGCAACUGACACUGAGGCUCGAAAGUGUGGGUAUCAAACAGGAUUAGAUACCCGAGUAGUC